rnacentral:tRNA from 1 species
GGAGGGUAUAGCUCAGUGGUAGAGCACAUGCUUAGCAUGCACGAGGUCCUGGGUUCAAUCCCCAGUGCCUCCA